rnacentral:rRNA from 1 species
UACGAAGGGUGCGAGCGUUGUCCGGAAUUAUUGGGCGUAAAGAGCUUGUAGGCGGUCUGUCGCGUCUGCUGUGAAAACUCAGGGCUUAACCCUGAGCUUGCAGUGGGUACGGGCAGACUAGAGUGCGGUAGGGGAGGCUGGAAUUCCCGGUGUAGCGGUGAAAUGCGCAGAUAUCGGGAGGAACACCAGUAGCGAAGGCGGCACUCUGGGCCGGUACUGGACGCUGAGGAGCGAAAGCGUGGGGAGCGAAACAGG